CAUCUGAAUUGGAUUAAAGGUUUACCGCUAAGGGAUGGGGAUGCGUCUGAUUAGGUAGUAGGCGGGGUAACGGCCCACCUAGCCGACGAUCAGUAGGGGUUCUGAGAGGAAGGUCCCCCACAUUGGAACUGAGACACGGUCCAAACUCCUACGGGAGGCAGCAGUGAGGAAUAUUGGUCAAUGGGCGAGAGCCUGAACCAGCCAAGUAGCGUGCAGGAUGACGGCCCUAUGGGUUGUAAACUGCUUUUAUACGGGGAUAAAGUGAGGGACGUGUCCCUUUUUGUAGGUACCGUAUGAAUAAGGACCGGCUAAUUCCGUGCCAGCAGCCGCGGUAAUACGGAAGGUCCGGGCGUUAUCCGGAUUUAUUGGGUUUAAAGGGAGCGCAGGCCGAAGGUUAAGCGUGACGUGAAAUGUAGCCGCUCAACGGCUGAACUGCGUCGCGAACUGGCUUUCUUGAGUGAGUUCGAUGUAGGCGGAAUUCGUGGUGUAGCGGUGAAAUGCUUAGAUAUCACGAAGAACUCCGAUUGCGAAGGCAGCCUACAAGGCCUUUACUGACGCUAAAGCUCGAAGGUGCGGGUAU
rnacentral:rRNA from 1 species